rnacentral:rRNA from 1 species
UACGUAGGGGGCAAGCGUUAUCCGGAUUUACUGGGUGUAAAGGGAGCGUAGACGGUGAUGCAAGUCAGAAGUGAAAGCCCGGGGCUCAACUCCGGGACUGCUUUUGAAGCUGUGUGACUGGAGUGCAGGAGAGGUAAGCGGAAUUCCUGGUGUAGCGGUGAAAUGCGUAGAUAUCAGGAGGAACACCAGUGGCGAAGGCGGCUUACUGGACUGUAACUGACGUUGAGGCUCGAAAGCGUGGGGAGCAAACAGG